UGUCACAUCCCUCCCAACAAGCUGCAGGCUCAGAGGCAAGGGUGUUGAACCAUGUUCACUCUGACUGAGGCACUCCUACCCAAAGAGCCUGAGGUCCGCCCAACAUCACACAGCAGCUCCGGCCGCCUGGGGCCCUGGACGUAGCCUUCCCAUGUCCGGCCGGGAGGCUCGCCUCUUAGGGCUGUCUGCAGUAGAAGUUGCCUCCUGCUUUCACAACACACCUCUCCAGCCUCCAAAGUGCAGAUUCCAGGCCUCACCCUCAAUGAUUCUGUCUCUGGAUGGCUAAGCGGAGCCCCAGAAGGUGUGCUUCGCUUCCUGGCCCUCGUCUUUGCCCUGGUCUCCACAUGGAUCUUUAUUCGCAGCUACAUCAGCUUAAACGCGAAAACUAUCCGUCUGCCCCGCUGGCUGAGUUUGGUCACCAAGGAGAUCCCAGUCAUGAGGGCCAAGUGUGGCCUCGCUAAGCCCUGCCCAAAAGAGUUCUUCGCCUUUAAAAUCAGCAGCGGGGCUGCUAACGUCGUGGGCCCUACCAUGUGCUUCGAAAACCAGGUGAUCAUGAGUCCUGUGAAAAACAACGUGGGCAGAGGCCUGAAUAUUGCCCUGGUGAACGGAACCACAGGAAUGGUGCUAACACAGAAAUGCUUCGACAUGUACUCCGGAGAAGUGAAGCUGCUGGUGAAAUUCCUUAAAGAAAUUCCAGAAGGUGCACUCGUGCUGGUGGCUUCCUAUGAUGACCCAGGAACCAGACUGAAUGAUGAGACCAGGAAGCUCCUCUCCAGCCUGGGCAGUUCUUACGCAAAGCAGCUGGGCUUCAGAGAUAGCUGGGUCUUUUUAGGAGCCAAAGACCUCAAGGACAAAAGCCCCUUUGAGCAGGUGGGUUCCUGGUGGCAUCCCAUCCCAGUGAGGUGGGUGGGGUGGGGGGAAGUUGCCAGGGAUAGAUGGACAAGGACUGGGGUGGCUUGGAAGAAUGGUGUGGGGACCCCUAGAGGUCAGGGUGGCCUGACUGGGUAAUCCCCCAGCAGGAAGUGGCCUUGACUAUUUUGCAAGGAGGUGGGUCAUAAUAAAUUAUCGGAUAAGUACCAAAAAAGAGAAGGAAAAGGAGAAAAGAAGGAUGAAGGCAAGAGAGACAUGGAAAAAAAGAGAAAGGAAUGUAGAGAUGAAGCCUGCAUGACAGGCAGAGAGGGGAGCCCAGAGAAGGGGGGAUGCCUAGCUUCUGGUCCCAAUGGAAACCUAAGCCACACCCCUAUUCCCCCCAAGGGCUCAGGCUCCCCACCUGAAGAGAGAGGUUUGGACCAGAGGAGCUGUCCCCUUCUAAGCUCCCUGUGGAGAGAGUAAACUUGCAUCAAGAGGAGGACACAGGAGAGCCCACCUGAUAUGGAAGGGGUCAGCAGGGGUCCAUGACAUGUGGCUCUACGGUCACUACCCAGGGGUGUCCCCAAGCAGGGUCUGGGAGGCCCCCCAGCAAUGGAGUCUCAGGAUUGCUCAGAGGAGGAAAGGGGAGUUAAGGCAGCAUUGGGAACCCACAGGGAAAUGCUGCACCUUCUCUCCCUGUCCCCCAUCUGUGCGUCCCCAGCUCAGAGCAGUUCCAAAAUGUGGGAGAACUAGCCAGAUCUUCCCCAGGCAUGAAGUAGCCCCAUCUUUGAAGGUGACAACAUUCAGUUCUGCCCAGAAGGCAGCUAAGAGUCGAUGAUUCAGGCAUAAAGGUCUAGCGAGGUGAGUGAAUUCUAUCCCGAAGGCAGUGGGGAGCCAUGGAAGGCUUAAGCAGGAAAGCGACAAGCACAGAUUGAUAUAUAAGAAAGACUAGCUAGCAUUCAGCAAGCACUUGCUCCGUGCAGGCUUGGCUGAGCAAGCUACCUGCAGCGCCUUCUUUGAUUCCCACAUGAAGCAGGUACAAUUAUCCUCCCAUCUCACAGUCCAGGAUCCGGAGGCAUGGAGAGGUUUUAACCAGCUUGCUCAGGUCUGAGCUACUCAGCGAUGCAGAUGCAGCUGUCAUCAGUUCUUAAAGAACAACCCAGACACAAACAAGUACGAGGGCUGGCCGGAGCUGCUGGAGCUGGAAGGCUGUGUUCCCCGAAAGAU